UUGGGCCUGCUGCUGGUCC
rnacentral:misc_RNA from 1 species